rnacentral:rRNA from 1 species
UACGUAGGGUGCGAGCGUUAAUCGGAAUUACUGGGCGUAAAGCGUGCGCAGGCGGUUUUGUAAGCCAGAUGUGAAAUCCCCGGGCUUAACCUGGGAACUGCACUUGUGACUGCAUCGCUGGAGUGCGGCAGAGGGGGAUGGAAUUCCGCGUGUAGCAGUGAAAUGCGUAGAUAUGCGGAGGAACACCGAUGGCGAAGGCAAUCCCCUGGGCCUGCACUGACGCUCAUGCACGAAAGCGUGGGGAGCAAACAGG